CCUACGGGCGGCAGCAGUAGGGAAUAUUGCUCAAUGGGGGAAACCCUGAAGCAGCAACGCCGCGUGGAGGAUGAAGGUUUUAGGAUUGUAAACUCCUUUUGUGAGAGAAGAUAAUGACGGUAUCACACAAAUAAGCACCGGCUAACUCCGUGCCAGCAGCCGCGGUAAUACGGAGGGUGCAAGCGUUACUCGGAAUCACUGGGCGUAAAGAGUCCGCAGGCGGGCUUGUAAGUCAGAUGUGAAAUCCUGUGGCUUAACUACAGAACUGAAUGUGAAACUAUGAGUCUAGAGUGUGGGAGAGGUAGGUGGAAUUCUUGGUGUAGGGGUAAAAUGCGUAGAGAUCAAGAGGAAUACUCAUUGCGAAGGCGACCUACUGGAACAUUACUGACGCUCAUGCACGAAAGCGUGGGGAGCAAACAGGAUUAGAUACCCUUGUAGUC
rnacentral:rRNA from 1 species